UUCAGAUGAUGAUCCCAAGCCUUCUGGCGAUCUGUCCAUAGUGAACCUUGCAAGGGUUUAAGGAAAAGUUAUUCCUUUUUGUCAGUUAUGCCGGGGAGGGUUUUUCCGGUUUAUCCCGGAGGGCUUGUAGCUCAGUUGGUUAGAGCGCGCGCUUGAUAAGCGUGAGGUCGGAGGUUCAAGUCCUCCCAGGCCCACCAAUUUACGCCUAUUCCUUGAUGAAGGCAGAGUGAACAUUCUAUAAGGAUAAAGUUUGAUGCCUUUUGAAGUUUGGUGCCUUUAUUUGAUGGUUUUUUAGAUUGUUUGAGAAUUUUUAGGGGCCGUAGCUCAGCUGGGAGAGCACCUGCUUUGCAAGCAGGGG
rnacentral:misc_RNA from 1 species